GCUUAAGCUGCAGGUGCCAUGAAACCUCCAAACCUCACAAGAUUCUCUACCCUUUAGUUUAAUACAUCUUGCCAUGGCAUUAAUCCCCAAACCAUCUCAGUCAACCCAUGCCCCCCAACCUAGAAAUUCUAGUUCCCACCCUUGUAUGAUUAUUAUAUAUAAACACACACACACACACACCUAUGUUCUCAUCGAAUGUGUAUUACAAGAACAAUGGCUUCAAAGAAAUUUUUGUGUUUUUGGAACGCUUUCUUGAUUGUUAUACUUCUUUUCUCUUCUGCAAUGGGAUCAAGGGAUCUGUCAGAGAUUGCCAGGCCUCGUAUGAUUCUUGAUGAGAAGGCUACUAGCACUCAAAGGGGUCCUGCAUUGGACGGCCAUUAUAGGGUUGCUCCCCGCAACGGCUAAUUAGCUGAAUUUCAUGACAUCUUUUAUUGCGUACACAAUAACGGAAAUAUUUAAUAGUUUAAUAUUGUAAUAUAUGCAUCUACAGUCAAUAAAUUUCUGUACGCAUUAGUAAGCGUUGCUACCUUGCUAUCCUGAUUUUUGCCUGGCGUUAUGGUGAAGCGUGGAGGCUGAUAUCAAAAGUUCGUGCUGCUGAAAGUUACUGUUACUAUUAGCUGUACCUUUGAUUAAGUUGUACUCCUUUUGGAUAGCUUUACAUCUUCUUGUAGCUGGCAAGAGAGAAAUAAAGGAGACGAAGAUAAAGUAUCUUUUAUUUUAUUAUGAAGAGUUUCAAUAGAUUUCU